rnacentral:misc_RNA from 1 species
GAUGAAGAACGCAGCGAAAUGCGAUACGUAAUGUGAAUUGCAAAUUCAGUGAAUCAUCGAGUCUUUGAACGCACAUUGCGCCCCCUGGUAUUCCGGGGGGCAUGCCUGUCCGAGCGUCAUCGCUGCCCUCAAGCACGGCUUGUGUGUUGGGCCCCGUCCUCCGAUUCCGGGGGACGGGCCCGAAAGGCAGCGGCGGCACCGCGUCCGGUCCUCGAGCGUAUGGGGCUUUGUCACCCGCUCUGUAGGCCCGGCCGGCGCUUGCCGAUCAACCCAAAUUUUUAUCCAGGUUGACCUCGGAUCAGGUAGGGAUACCCGCUGAACUUAAGCAUAUCAAUAAGCGGAGGA